AGGUAACAGAAAAAAACUAGUGAAUGUAAGCAGAGGGGGUUCUCGUUCAAUAGCCAAUCUUGUGCACCAAAUGUCAACUCCCGAGACGCCGCCUAGCCCUUUAGAGAUUUAUCACAGCUUGCAUUAUAAAGCCGAUGAGAAAGAUAAAAAAUGGCUAAAUGAUGAUGCACGUAUUGAAUAUG